AGAUUUGUUAAAUUGGUAUAAUUUAAUUUUGACUUCCUGUACUACUUGUAUACCCCCUCAAUCCUAAAAAACACACAUUCCAGCCCACGGUCGCACCCUUAAACUCGCCGACGUUCUUGUUCCAGCCGCCGGCCAACCUUCUAGUUCCGUCCGGCGACCAACAUCUCAUUCCAGCCAACCUCAAUCGGACAACGUCUUCACCGCCACUGCUGUUUCAUCAGGUUCGAAUCUCUAAAAUGCAUGUGCUUUGAAGCAUUUGAUUAGAAAAGAUGGCAAUGAAGGUUCUUGAAAUGAUGAAGAUCAAGAAAAAGCGGUGCUGUUUAUAAACAUUAUAUUCUAUGUUGCAUUCAUAAGAAGUUGUGUUCUUGAUGGCAUGAAGUAGUGUUGUUUUCUUCAUUUAGAUAUAGAAGUUGUAUUCCAAUAAUUGUAGAAUUUUAUGAUAUUUUAUUGCGUUGUAUAUAUCUUAUAAUUUUUAUCAAAUUGUAGAAACUCAGGUUUUAUUUGUGAUUGUAAAUCUUUAUGUGAA